UGUCCAAUGCGGGAAUCGAACCCGUGUCCUAGUGGUCGAAAACCAAACGGUUUAACCAGCCUUCCACGGACCCCCAAAUCUUUAGUUAAUUGGAC
rnacentral:tRNA from 1 species